rnacentral:precursor_RNA from 15 species
AAAGCCAGCUUUGACUGCUCAGACUGGGGUUCUCGGAAUGGAAGCGCUUUACCUUAAUCUGAGCUGGAAAGUGCUGACAUUUCGAGGAUCCCCUUUUGAGGCAAGCUUCUGGAUCCUAU